AGUUACCUCAGCAUCAGCAGCAAAUUCUUGCCCAACAGCAACUUAGGCAAGCCUCAAUGCCUGGACUGGGGCAGCUGCAUGGUCAGCCACAGAUGCAGUUCUCUCAGCCACUGGGAGCACAGCAGUUUCAAGGUAGGCAGCUACCAUCUGGUGCCCUUCAUCACGGUAUGGGUCAAAGUCAGCUCAACCAAGGAAAUCAGCUGAAUCGACAUUUAAACCAGUUUUCUAGUCCUAUGAAUACUGCACUAUUCAAUUCUGCCCAAAGCACACCUAGCUCUCAGAUGAUCUCAAAUAUGUCAGCAAUGGUGCCAUCACAAACUCUUCUGCCACGAAUGCAGUUUGGAAUGUCUGGUGGAACUCGGAAUCUUGCUGCUGCAAACCUGAGUGAUCAAAUGUUCAAUAUGGGAGGAAACAAUCCUGGUAUGAUGUCAAUCCAACAGCAGCAGCAUGGCACAUUUGGAAACAUGUCACAAAAUACACAGAAUCUGCAGCAGGGUAUGAUGCCUCUUCAGAACGCACCUCAGACCCACCCUUCCUUUCAGCAACAAAGACCACAAGGCCAACAGUGAAGUAUCUAAGAUUAGAUGGAAGAGGAGGAUAUUUAUACCAAACCUCAACAUUUCCUAACUUUGUUUGAUCUUUAAAAAAAAAAUGUGAAGGCCAGAUUCUUGCAGGAAAUUUUUGUUGGAACAUUACAUUUGUUAAAAGAAGAUUGUAAAAUUACGUGCCUUGUACAUUAUUCAGUCGUAAAUGUAAAUCAGAA
rnacentral:misc_RNA from 1 species